rnacentral:lncRNA from 1 species
UAUAAUAUAUUGAUUCCUCUCAUUAGUGUGGAUCAUUGCAACAAAGCAAGCCAAAGUUGAGUUCAAACUACGAAUACAAUGAAUGAGAAGUUUCUAUAGAAAUAAAAAGACACAUAGUUACAUGAAAAGAUACUCUCACUGAUCUAUCUGAGCUGUUCACUUCAAGUAAUCAUACUAUUUUCGAGUACCAUCUGUAUCAGAAACUACAUGUCUUAGGAUAAAACCUACAAACUAUUUCCAUAAAUAUCUUCAACAUCUUAUCAAUCCCUCUGAUAAGCAUGUCAAAUCUUUCUCUGGGAAGACGGAGUUUCUGCAUGUAGUAACACAUAAUUUUGAAUAAGCAACAAGAAUGGAUGAUUAUGUGUUACACACAGUUUUAGAAUGUGGAUAAAUCCCAUUUUGCAGGUGAUGCAAAGAGACUCCACAUGGUUAGGAUGGAUUGUAUUUGGAAACCUCAAAUGAAGCGCAAUUGCUUGCCUCCAAUGGUUUCAUGUUGGAAAAGCAUGUUAAGUAAUGCUGCAACGUGUUCGCUACAGUCUAUGAGAAGCUCUAUAAGCCCUGGCAGUUUGGAAAUGCAACUUGGUAAGCUAAUAAUAUUGUUGCUAUAAAAAAUGUUGCCAGUGAGAUCUAGAGUCUCCAAUGAAGAUAAGCGACAANAAAGGGGUUGAAACCCUUGAUUUUCUCAUCUGGCAUUAGUCACACAGCACUCAAAUGGUUGUUGACCUUCAAUUCAUGUCAACCCUCUCAUGUGACCCACAUAAUUUUGGGUCCACAAACUNUGAUGCAAAAAAUUAUAUUAAUUUCUACAUUCCCAUAGAAGGGACNUGANGCAUNCUUUUNUGUUUUUACCCUGUUGGUGUCUCNUGCCUAAUGUUUUUAUUUAUGUAUAAUUGUCCAAUCAAACUCAUUCCAUUUCUUGAACUNUAAAUUGGUCAUCCACUUUGAUUCUCCUCANUGCAGUCUCACCCNAAAUCAAAAUGGCNCAAGAAACUGUGGUGAAGAGGUCACCCUCUCAAGCAAAAUUUCACAGGGUUCAAUUUGCAAUAAGGCUGUUGGNGCUGGUUUUGUUCUUGGGUUGGAUUUUCAUUUGGAUAAUGUCACCCACAAAUACUUUUANACAAANNUGGCUUCCAAGAUACAGNGCAAAGACUGNCAAUACAACUUAUUUGGGUUCAAAAGGUCUUGUUAAUUUAUUCAAUNAUUACAUUGCUUUGAUUAUUUUAUGCUGAUAUUCCCCUGUAAUGUUUUCAUUGCAGGUUCUAAUCUUCUGAUGUACACAUUCUCAAUNUUGCUCAUAGCUACUUUGGGGUGUGUCUACCUCCACAUAAUAAAAAAAGCAAAUGACUCCAACAUGGAAAUGUACUAUUUUUCACCACUUACUCUGGUUAUAAUCUUUUGAUAAAUGGUUCAUUGUAAGAUUAACACAUAAAAAGGUGUACUACAAAUGACAUGAACAAAAAAAUAAAAAGCAUAAAACACACUCACAGAACUGUAUUUAAAGUUUGUAGAUUGCAGAAUAAGUUUUAUCAUAGUUUUGACAGUUACCCAGGAAAAUUUUUCUCUUGUAACAAAAGUUAAGGCCUUAUUUUUUUUUUAAUAUAUUAGUACUUAUAUGAUGAGAAAUAGUAAAUAACUAUGUGUUAUUUUAUAAAUUAAUUUACAAAAAGUUCUUUGUUUUAGUUUCUUCACAAACUGAUUAUAACUUGUAAAAAGUUAAAUUAGUUUUAUAUACUUAUUUUCUUAUCUUACAGAUACUUUUUUCAGCAAAAUGUUUGAUUUUUCAACUUUAGAAAAAUGAUGUGAGNGUGGGGACAAAGAAUUUAAUAAGCCUGUAAAGAAUUGUACUUGUGAUAGUUGACUUUUUCACAUGUAUAUAUGUUUUGUGCAUUAUCAGCAGCAACUCAAAGAAAUAUGAGAUAGCCCUAUGGAAGCGUUCAGUGCUUAUAAAAGGCCCUCUUGGCAUUGUCUCUGGCACAGAGCUUGCAUUCUUGCUCAUGUUCAUUGCACUCCUUGUCUGGNCCUUUGCAACUUCUUUAAGCAACAGCUUUGCAAAAAUCACCCCCGAAUCAGCAGCACAGGAUGGCGAGAAAAUGUAAACUUUUAUUAUGAUUACUAUUAGACUUUGAUUUCUAUACAUAAUUAGAGUAAAAAGUUAUUAACUGCAAAUCGAUCUAAAAUCAUUACUAGAUAACUUUUGAAGUAACUAUUAUAAAAGUCAGCAAAUUUAAUAUCAAUGACAUGAUACUUUUUAUACUGAAUGAUUGGAUGAUGGUAGAAAAAUCCUUAACAAUAUCAGUGCCUAAACUAUUUUUCCUAUUGUUUGCAGUAUGAUUAGUUUUUCAACUUUUACGACAAUUAUCUUAGAAAGUCGUAGAUUUUUGUGAUUCCUGGUAGAUUAACGGUGUAAAAGUGCAUUAUUAAACUAAAAACUAAGCUGAGCAUUUUGAUUGUUAUUGUUAAUUGUGAUACAUGUUGGUGGUGCAGAUGGGAAGAGAAGCUAGACAGUGCAGGAUUGAUAUCUGGUGUUGUUGGGAACAUAUGUUUGGUAUUCAUGUUUUUUCCUGUGGCUCGUGGUUCAAGCGUGCUGCCACUGCUUGGUCUCACUUCUGAAAGUUGCAUUAAGUACCAUAUUUGGCUUGGACAUAUUGCCAUGCCACUAUUCACUGCUCACGGUUUGAGCUUCAUCAUCCAUUGGGCAAUUAUUAAUCACUUGUCUGCGGUUAGUUAAGAACUUAUAGUAUAUUGAUUUCAUGGCAUGCAAUGUUUUAUCAUUUAUAUGAGUGUUGAUUGCCAUUAAUCCACCUUAUGUUGUAAAGAAAGUUUUUUUUUUUUUUUUUUUUUGUAACAAGUUAACUCAAGUAUGUUAAAAUUCGUAAUAAGUGAUUAUUUUAUUUGAAGAACACUUCUUUUCUACAAAAACAGUUUAAACAAAUAGACCCAUUGGCCCCCUUGUCACUUUGGAUAUUCCUCGCGCUUAUGCUUAUUGGUAUUCAUUUCUGACUUGCUUUAAGUAGCAAAUCGGUGAACACCACCAAAAGGGUUAAAAAUGUGAAUUUUUUAUGCUUGAACGGUCAAACUGUUUCUGUUGUACACUAAUCAUAUAAUUUUAAAUGAUUUUAUGCGUCUAUAUUUGUAGGAAAGUUUUUCAUUGAUAAAGAAAAAAGAUUUAUACAAUUAUGUAUGAAUUGAUUCUAGAAUUGUUACAGCAGAACAUUUUAGAGACCAAGCAACAAACCUGUCGCGGUGUUUUUCUUGAGCAAGUUGUCUGAAUUUUAUGUUUUGUUUUUUGUUUCAUAGUAUUGUGUGCACUGAGCUGAUGGGGCCAUGGCUUUUUUUCGUUGCAGAUGCUGGAAUGGAAGAAAAACGAUAUAUCAAUUGUGGCUGGAGAGAUAACUUUGCUUGCNGGUUUGUUACUAUGGAUUGCAACUAUUCCCCGCAUUAGGCGAACAUAUUUUGAACUCUUCUAUUACGCUCAUCACCUCUACAUCCUCUUCAUAGUCUUCUUCAUCUUUCAUGUUGGCAUUUCCUAUGCCUUAAUUAUGCUCCCUGGUUUCUACCUCUUCAUGGUCGAUCGUUACUUGAGGUUUCUGCAAUCAAGACGCCAAGUUCGUCUGGUUUCUGCUCGGGUNUUGCCAUGUGAAGCUGUGGAACUCAACUUCUCCAAGGGCCAUGGUAACUAACAUCAUGAUCUUAUCUCAGUAUCUCGAAGACACCUCUAGCUACUUCCUCAUAAAUGACUAAUUUAUUGAGACUUUUUUUAUGAGCUCAGGUUACAUGUUUUUUUUGCAGGAUUAACUUACAACCCCACAAGUGUGAUGUUCAUAAAUGUACCAAGCAUAUCCAAGCUGCAGUGGCAUCCAUUUACUGUUACUUCUAAUAAUAAUUUGGAGGCAGACAAGCUAAGUGUUNUUNUUAAAAGUGAAGGACCUUGGACCAAUAAGCUAUACCAGUUGCUUUCAACUCCUUCNACAAUUGAUCGCCUUUCUGUGUCUGUNGAAGGUCCUUAUGGACCUGCUUCAACCAACUAUCUACGGUUUGUAUCUUACAAGCAAAACACAACUUCAAACCUAAUGCUANAUCUGAGAUGAGUUCUUUGACUUUCACAUAAUAAUAANNUUUUGUAUUUUCUCCAUCAGGCAUGACACUCUUGUGAUGGUGAGUGGAGGAAGUGGCAUCACACCUUUUAUAUCCAUCAUUCGGGAGCUAAUACAUCUGAACACUAUAUUCAAAUGCAAAACCCCGAAAGUCGUCCUAAUUUGUGCCUUCAAGAACUCUUCUUCUCUGUCAAUGCUAGAGUUGAUCCUCCCAAUAAAUGGCANCCCUUCUGAUAUUUCUAAUUUAGAAUUACAAAUUGAGGCCUACAUCACAAGGGACAAGGAGCCUAAAGCAGAUGGCCCUAUUCACCCUCAAAUCAGAUGGUUCAAGCCAAAUCCAUCNGAUGAACCAGUACACGCUAUAUUAGGUCCAAACAGUUGGCUCUGGCUUGGUGCUAUAAUUUCAUCCUCUUUCGUNGUUUUCCUUAUCUUAAUAGGGAUCAUUACCCGUUACUACAUUUUCCCAAUUGAUCAUAACUCAAAUNAAAUAUUUUCCUACCCUUUGAAUGCAUUCCUUAACAUGCUAGUAAUAUGUGUGUCCAUAGCAAGUGUUUCCACUGCAGCUUUUCUUUGGAACAAGAAAUAUUAUGCUAAAGAAGGAAAGCAGAUUCAGAACAUGGAAGGGUCUACACCAACGGUGUCGCCAAACUCCAUGGUUUACAAUGUUGAUAGAGAACUGGAAAGUCUUCCAUAUCAGUCACUUAUUCAAGCCACCAAUGUGCAUUAUGGUGUAAGACCUGACCUAAGAAGUAAGUCACCUCCAAUUUCUUUAAUUAUGUCUUAGGGACUCAUGAAUGGAAUUGAAACCACUCAAUUUAUUUUUUCUUUUUACAGAGAUCCUAUUUGNGCACAAAGGGUCUAGUGUGGGAGUUCUUGCUUCAGGACCCAAAACAAUGAGGCAUGAGGUUGCAGCCAUUUGCUCCUCAUCUGNUUUAGCUGAGAAUCUGCAUUUUGAGUCUAUUAGCUUUAGCUGGUGAUUUUACUCAUACUGUUAUAAUGGGUGUAAUAGUGAGUGACCAAUGUCUGGAAGUACCUUGAAGGACUUGUUAAUUCUGUUGUUUUAUAUUUAAAUGACUGAAAAUUGUUCUCAAUAAUAAUUACGCCUUCAUAUGAGCAAGAUUAUAAAUAAAGGAAUUUACUAUAAUAUUUUAUCCUCAAAUAGUGUGGAUCAUAUUCACAAAACAUGCAAAAGCUGAGUUCAAACUACAAACAUGGAGAACGAGAAAUUACUAUUCAAAUAUCAAGACACGUGUAAUUACAUGAAAAGUUACUGAAUAAAUCACACCAUCUCAUUAACCAAUCCCAUCAAUAUAUAAAAUGAUACUAUUGUCAAGCACUAACUAUAUCAGAAACUCUAAGUAUCAUGCUAAAGCCUAGAAAUCAUUUCCAUAAAUAUCUUCAACAUCUUCCUCACAUACCAAAUGACAACCACACCUCAGUAUUUCCAGUGAAUGGCAGCAAUAACUUUUCAAUGCAAAUUCAAUUUCAUUGCAGUCCCACCUUCAUAUAUUUUGUGAAGGUGUUCAUCAAUGGACAAAGAGUACAUAAGGGUGAGGUAACAUCGAUCCAUGGAGGUAAAUUGCAUGGUUUAGAAUAAUCAUAUUCUUAAAAUAAUCAUAUUCUUAAAAUAAUUAUAUUCUCGUAUUAUUUAAUUUAUAAUAAAUCUAAAAUAUGAAUUCAUUAAUAUAUUAUAUUCCAAUUACUUAAUCCUAACUAGAGACCUAUUAUUGGAUUUAAAUCACACACAAAUAUUUCCCACUUUUAGGUAAACUCUACAGGAACACAAUGUUGUAGCCAAUUCAUCACCUAGUUUAGCUGGAAAUCUGCAUUUUGAGUACAUUAGCUUUAGCUGGUGAUUUUACCCAUGGUGUUGUAAAGGAUCAAAAAUAUUAAUUGAUAUGAUAAACCUCUUGAAGGAGCUAGUAGUCUUAGGCUGAGAGUCAGCCUUAGUGAACUGGUCGAUUGUGUUGCUUUUAUUUAAAUGGGUAAAAAUUGGUUUGUCCACAAUAGUUAGGCCUUCCUAUCAGUAAAAAUUUCAAGAAAGGAGCAUACUAUAAUAUAUUGAUUCCUCUCAUUAGUGUGGAUCAUUGCAACAAAGCAAGCCAAAGUUGAGUUCAAACUACGAAUACAAUGAAUGAGAAGUUUCUAUAGAAAUAAAAAGACACAUAGUUACAUGAAAAGAUACUCUCACUGAUCUAUCUGAGCUGUUCACUUCAAGUAAUCAUACUAUUUUCGAGUACCAUCUGUAUCAGAAACUACAUGUCUUAGGAUAAAACCUACAAACUAUUUCCAUAAAUAUCUUCAACAUCUUAUCAAUCCCUCUGAUAAGCAUGUCAAAUCUUUCUCUGGGAAGACGGAGUUUCUGCAUGUAGUAACACAUAAUUUUGAAUAAGCAACAAGAAUGGAUGAUUAUGUGUUACACACAGUUUUAGAAUGUGGAUAAAUCCCAUUUUGCAGGUGAUGCAAAGAGACUCCACAUGGUUAGGAUGGAUUGUAUUUGGAAACCUCAAAUGAAGCGCAAUUGCUUGCCUCCAAUGGUUUCAUGUUGGAAAAGCAUGUUAAGUAAUGCUGCAACGUGUUCGCUACAGUCUAUGAGAAGCUCUAUAAGCCCUGGCAGUUUGGAAAUGCAACUUGGUAAGCUAAUAAUAUUGUUGCUAUAAAAAAUGUUGCCAGUGAGAUCUAGAGUCUCCAAUGAAGAUAAGCGACA